GUCAGGUCAAGGGACUCCCCCGACGACUGCACCCCACGGUGCUGGCACGCCCGUACACUCGCGCUCAAAAGAGACAGUUUGCACGCCAACUGGUUUUGGAGCCAAACAACUGCUAAAGAAGUCUUUCUCAGGCAGCCUAAUCUUCUUGAAUUGGCAACUCCCAUUAAUGUUUGUGGUACCAUAAUUUCUUGAUGUCAGCAUUGCUAAAGAUUGAAAUAUCCCAUCACUAGAUUUUAGUCUCAGGCUCUCAGCUGAUGCAUAAACACAAGAGCCUUUGUCCAAUGUGAGAGCUGGCGCCGACGAUGGUCCAGAGCUUUCUGUUUAAGCUCUGUAAAGGAGUGGCGCACUGCCACUCCCACGGCGUGCUUCACCAUGCUUUGAAGCUGCAGAAUCUGCUUCUGGAUAAGGAUAGAGGGGUUCUCAAGAUCGCCGAUUUUGGAUAGCGUUCACUGUGCCUCUCAAGAGCUGUACACAUGAGAUUGUGACUCUCUGGUAUAGAGCACCGAAGGUUCUGCUCGGGUCUACUCACUACUCCACCGGCGUUGAUAUGUGGUCGGUCGGAUGCAUAUUCGGACUUGGCUUCGAGGACGAUAAUUGGUGUGGGUAAGCGAUGAUGAGACCUUUAUUAUCUUGUGACGUUUGUUUCCAUCUCCCCAUCCAAACACCCUUUCGCUUCUCACCUUACCAUCUCCUGCGACCUUUGGCAUCACCGUUUGUGGCAUCCUUCUCCUGCCUGUUUACAAUAUAUAGCCAAUAAGUAGCUUCAUUUUCAUUUCGAUUCCAAUAGUAAGUGUGAAAUUUGUCCUUUGGCUAAACAAACUCGCCAACCUUUUCCUUCUAGUUCAAUAUCAACUUCUCGAUGUUUUUCUCUUCUACAUUGUGAUAUUUGGGGACUACAUAAAAGUAUAAA